AGGCAUUCAGGCAGUCAGUUUUUCCACAUGGGCCCUAUAAAGGAUAUAACAUGCAGUGUUUCUUUAUAAAAACAGCCUACCCACAGGGCACUGAGCUUCAUUCUGGCAUAGUACACAGGAGUUAGCUCCAUCUUAUUUACAUAUAGAUGCUGGCCUUUAGUAUGCGAUGAGAAAAGCUCAGGUGGAAGACAUAUAGGUAGAUGCCACAUUUCCAAACGAGCUGCAGCCAGAUCUUUCCUGUGUCCACACUCAAGGAGAGCUCUACUCUGGCGGACACUGUUGUGAGGUUGUUUGCAGGAAAGGAAAGCAGGACAGAUGCAGAGCUAUCAGGCAUUGCCAGCAUUCCUGCAGAGAAGCUACUGUAGCUGCUAUGAUAAAGAGCUGCUUGGUGCCUCAGAGCAUCUUGGGUAUUUCAAUGAGUGAGACUCAUCUCACUUCACACAGCCUCAGGCUCACUAUCGAUAAUAUCUAUCUAGUAGUAGCAAAAUUAGUGCCUGCCACCUGCCUAUCCUGAAAGGCUUUUGAUUGUGGCCUCCCACCUCUGUCUGACUCCCCUAAUCUCAUCCAAAACAUUUACUGUGAAAUGGCAUUUGUAGGGUCCUAGUAAGGACACAUUUCUUCUCAAACAUUCAGAUCAUUGAUUACCAUAGUUAGGGACUUGAGCUUAUAGCCUCAUCUGAAUUUUUUUCUGAGAUUUUUUUCCCCCUUACAUUAUAUUUAUUCAGUGAGCAACUUAGACCCUUUCUUGCCUUGUUGUUAAUGACCUUUCCAAGAGAGGAAGUGACCUACUCAAGAGUUGGUUGCACACAAGGAAACAAGAGAGUCCUUAGCUUGGGACUCAGCAUAGGGCUUUAUCUAGCCACACACAGUUAGGGAACUUUCCAGACCGUGGCCCUGAGCCAAGGGCAGACACCUUAGUGAAUAACAGCUUCUGUUCACAGCUGCUCUGUUCUUUGCAUUUUCUGAGAACAUUUCCCCACCCCUCAUUAGCCUGUUAGUUCAGGUGUUUGGAAAUGUACAAACAUAAUAAACACUGUUCUUGGGCAGACUCUGCUCCUUGGCCUGCGUAUGAGCUGGCACAGCGGAGUGGAGAGGUGAGCAGAUGGCCAGUGUUGCCUCUGGAGCCGCAACACUCUGGAAGUUCACAGACAAUGAACUGACAGCAGUGGAUCAUUCUCUGUGAAACUCCCCUUGCUCGCUUUCCUCCUGGCGUUUGGUCCACAUGCUUACUAUGACUCUUCAGGGCAUCACUAAACACUGUGGCAAGGUUUGACGGUAUUUCUAUAUUUAUAUAUUCCAUAUCUAAAUUUUUAAUCUUUGCAGUCACUUUUUAAGACUUAGACUAAACACAAAUAUAAAGUUCAAAGACAAAUUCUAGAUUGACACCUGCAAAUGAAAUUCUUCACUGGUUGUGGCAGAAGAUGGUGUUUGUGAACAGUUUAUCUCCUGACUCCUUCAGAAUGAAAAUGAGGCCUUAUAAGCCCCUAGUGCUGAGGUACUCCUUUUCAUAAUGGCUUUAUAGUCUCCUAUUGAAUAACUUGUUUUGUUUCACAAUGCCUAUAAUUACCUAUAACCUGUCUGCCUUCUUCUGCUCUGGGUUUCUUAUUUAGACAGUUGUUGUUAGUAAGGAUCUAGUUUGUUUCACUAUGUUGUGAAUACACCCUCCAGCAUAUGCUGGUGGGAGGGGAGCAGGAGGGCACCUUUUCCACACCUCUGAGUUGGGUGUGAAUCUGAUCUGGUGCAGCAGGUAGACUGCCACAAUGCUCAAAAUACUCAUAUGUAUGUGCUUUAUGGCUUGCUGGUACCCAGUUUCAAAGGUACAUCCUUAGGGCCGUAGACACCCCCACCCCCGUAAGAAGAGGCAUUUGUUUGGAGUUUUAAACGGUGUCUUGAAAAGAAAUGCCCUUGGAGCAUCAGCAAUUAUUAUAUGUACUGAAAAGGUGACUUAGAGACUAGAGUAAUUAGCAAUUUAGUUUAAGCUGACAUUGAAAUUAUACCAUCAUAACUUACACAAAUGCCUAACCCGAAUACUUUAAAAGGCUUUUUUUCUAGGUACUAGAUUCAAAAUGAAUGGGUUUUGUGUUUUUUUUUUUAUAUAAAUGAGAUGAUUUUCUUAAAACUAGAAUCUACUAUAUGUCUUAUUAGACAUUGGACUGGUGAAUAAUGAACUAAUUUGUAAAGUAGGAGUUGCAAUCCCUCAGAGAGC
rnacentral:lncRNA from 1 species